rnacentral:lncRNA from 1 species
GUCAGGGGAAAAUAAAUUGUUAAAGUUCUAUUGGGACACCCUGUACAGUCGCAGUCUUGUGAUCCCGUAGGAUACACAUCUCAGUCUAACGCCCCGAGGGACGUACAUAUCAGUCUAACGCCCCGAGGGACGUACAUAUCAGUCUAACGCCCCGAGGGACGUACAUAUCAGUCUAGUGUUCUGCAGAAACACAUAUCAGUCAAAUGCUCCCGAAGGUGCAAAAUAAAUUGGUGAUCCCGUGGGACACCUACAAGGUAAACAUCCCAAUACAAUCUAACAAUUUAUCCCCUCAUUCCAUUCAAUCCAUCUUUCAGUUACUUCAAAACAUAGAGUUCUUUCUCUCAACGUCCAAACAGUCAACUUAUCUCACUUUAGUCAUAUGUCUGUCAAUAAUAUACUUAUACGUCAGUCAAUCAAACUAUACAGUCAAUACACCCCUCAGAUCACCAGCACACAGUCAUACUUUAGCGUAACGUACACCCAAUCUAAACGACAAUCACAAGAUCGCAUCUGCAUCUCAUACAAGCACAAUCUACAACAUCACCUGUCUAUGUAGUGAUAUAUAUUGAAAUUCAACUAUAAAUUAUGUAGAACUAUAUGUCACUAAAUAUUUAUGUUGUAAAUAAGGUGUAUCUAUAUAUUAAAUCACAUCAUAAACAUAUUAUAAUUUACGAGUAUAUUAUAGUAUAUAUUGUUCAUUUAAAAAAUAUAUGACAAAUAGAAGGUAUAUAAUUAUACGAAGUGAGAAUAUGUAUGUAUGAUAUUCUCACUACAUAUUAUAUAUACACUAAGAAUGUGUAUUUUACUGUUUUAGUAGUAUUUACUAUAUAAAUAUAUAUUUUAAAUAUUAAUUAUUAAUGAAUAUAUAUGUAACGACCCAACUUUUCUAGGUAAGUCGAGGUCAUUAAUUUUUAACAAAAGACUUUGGUUGAUACAAAAUGAAACGUAAGUCAAUUUAAAAACAAUUUAUGUCAGGCCCGAUUUUCAAAUAUUCAAGAAAACUUAAAAAUAACACUAUUUACAAAUAAAAGUUUGUAAACUAAGUUUUAGUACAUCUUAAACCUCAAAAGAAACCAUAAGCGGAAGCAAAAUGACACAUUUCCUAUGACAAUCACGCUUCCUUCCUGCCCCUCGCCGGUUUGCCACCUUUAUUUCCUUUGCCUGAAAAUUAAACAUAAGAAGGGUGAGUAUAACAAUACUCAGUAAGAGACCCUCUACUGGUCUCGUCAGGGGAAAAUAAAUUGUUAAAGUUCUAUUGGGACACCCUGUACAGUCGCAGCUUGUGAUCCCGUAGGAUACACAUCUCAGUCUAACGCCCCGAGGGACGUACAUAUCAGUCUAACGCCCCGAGGGACGUACAUAUCAGUCUAACGCCCCGAGGGACGUUCAUAUCAGUCUAGUGUUCUGCAGAAACAUAUAUCAGUCAAAUGCUCCCGAAGGUGCAAAAUAAAUUGGUGAUCCCGUGGGACACCUACAAGGUAAACAUCCCAAUACAACCUAACAAUUUAUCCCCUCAUUCCAUUCAAUCCAUCUUUCAGUUACUUCAAAACAUAAAGUUCUUUCUCUCGACGUCCUAACAGUCAACUUAUCUCACUUUAGUCAUAUGUCUGUCAAUAAUAUACUAAUACGUCAGUCAAUCAAACUAUACAGUCAAUACACCCCUCAGUUCACCAGCACAAACCACAUUUGAGUACAAUCCACAUCCAACCGAAACAAAUUCA